rfam:Myotis lucifugus cont2.26018, whole genome shotgun sequence.
UGCCUCCUGCUCUGGCUGGUCAAACGGAACCAAGUCCGUCUUCCUGAGAGGUUUGGUCCCCUUCAACCAGCUACAGCAGGGCUGGCCA